rnacentral:rRNA from 1 species
AUUGAACGCUAGCGGGAUGCCUUACACAUGCAAGUCGAACGGAGUGGCGAACGGGUGAGAAAUGUAUCGGAUCGUGCCCAGUAGCGGGGGAUAACUACGCGAAAGCGUAGCUAAUACCGCAUACUAUUGGAGCGGCCGAUAGCGGAUUAGCUAGUUGGUGGGGUGACGGCUCACCAAGGCGACGAUCCGGAGCUGGUUUGAGAGGACGACCAGCCACACUGGGACUUAGAGACGGCCCAGACUCCUACGUGAGGCAGGAGGGGGGAAGUUUGGGCUAUGGGAGAAUCCCUGAACCAGCGAUGCCGCGUGGGCGAUGAAGGCCUGCGGGUUGUAAAGUACUUUUGGCAGGAAAGCGGUACCUGCAGAAGAAGCACCGGCUAACUACGUGCCAGCAGCCGCGGUAAUAC